rnacentral:rRNA from 1 species
AUAAUGACUCUCGGCAACGGAUAUCUAGGCUCUUGCAUCGAUGAAGAACGUAGCGAAAUGCGAUACUUGGUGUGAAUUGCAGAAUCCCGUGAACCAUCGAGUCUUUGAACGCAAGUUGCGCCCGAAGCCAUUUGUUGAGGGCACGUCUGCCUGGGCGUCACAU